UUUUUUGCGGAAUACAAUUGCAUUUUAUUGUGUCAUUACGAUCCGUUUUGUACAGAUUUGGCAUUUCAUUUAUUAUGAAUGUUUGUACAUAUUUAUUUGUGUUGUAGUGUCACAUUUUAUCCAGUAUUUAUAUGUAUUCGUUUUACCUUGUUUUAGAAAUAAUGGGUAACACCAUCCAAUCAGGGGACAUUAAUUAAUUAAUUAAUUAAUUGACAUUAGUAUAUGCAUAUGCAUUAUUAUAUAGCAUUAGCGUAAGGUUUAUGGUUAACCCUAACUGUACUAAAUAAUGUAUAUUAAUUCCUUAGAUUACGUGAACACCAUUACCUUAGGUAACGUGAACCCCAUUAGUAAAGGUUUUCCAGAACAUUUGCAAAAAUAACUGUUAAAUAUUUUUGAAUGUUUAACGACUGGUUAAUGAAUGUACCCUUAUUGGAAAAAAUAGACAGAAUAUAUAUAUAUAUAUAUAUAUAUAGGAUAAAUUGGUCCGUAUUCUCCCAAAUAAAACCAUAAACCAUAUAAAAUGUACUUAUUUUGUUCAUCACACAGCUAGCUAUUUAAACAAAAUAUAUAAUAUAUUCUUCAAAAAAAAAAACAUCAACAAUUGCAUACACAGUAUCAUAUAUAUAUAUAAAAAAGGAAAGAAAAUUCACUGCAAAUCACUUUGGAUAAAAGUGUCUGCUAAGAUGUAAAUAGUAAUAGUAGAUAUAGACUCACAGUACAACUACUACUACUACUGUUGCUACUACUACUACUACUACUACUACUACUACUACUGCUACCACUACUACUACCUCUACUAGCACAACACCUUAAUACUGGCCUACCAAGAGAGAGGGAACAUGUUUAAUCUAUUUUGAGAUUCUUCUAACAUUAAGGCUGGUGCAGCACAGUGCAGUGACUGUUGUGGUUUAUGAUGAGGUGCAUCAAGGUGAUGCAGCGGAAGAACAGGUUAGUCAGAGAAGCCUUCUGUACCGAGAGUCUGCUUUGCUGGAGGCGUGGACGCUUUUGGGAUUUUUUGCGUGUCGAGGCCACAGUCAUUCCACACCGACCGUGAAAGAGAGGGGAGAGAGAGAGAGAGAGAGAGAGAGAGAGAGAGAGAGAGAGAGAGAGAGACAGACAGACAGACAGACAGACAGACAGACAGACAGACAGACAGACAGACAGACAGGCAGGACCAGGAAGUGAGUGCUUCCUCGUUUGAGGGGGCGGCUCACCGGUUUGGCGAGAACACAUCUGCCAGACAGACCCUUUCUUGCAGAGCGUGUGGAAAGGUAGCCGUUGCUUGAGCUGGGCUCAUGGGUUCAGUUAUUACCAGUCUGGUAACUGCCCCCCCUCC
ensembl:lncRNA